rnacentral:rRNA from 1 species
UGGGGAAUCUUGCACAAUGGGCGCAAGCCUGAUGCAGCCAUGCCGCGUGAGUGAAGGAGGCCUUAGGGUUGUAAAGCUCUUUCACCAGGGAAGAUAAUGACGGUACCUGGAGAAGAAGCCCCGGCUAACUCCGCGCCAGCAGCCGCGGUAAUACGGAGGGGGCUAGCGUUGUUCGGAAUUACUGGGCGUAAAGCGCACGUAGGCGGAUGAUCAAGUUGGGGGUGAAAGCCCAGGGCUCAACCCUGGAAAUGCCCUCAAAACUGAUCGUCUCGAGUACGGGAGAGGUGAGUGGAAUUCCUAGUGUAGAGGUGAAAUUCGUAGAUAUUAGGAAGAACACCGGUGGCGAAGGCGGCUCACUGGCCCGUUACUGACGCUGAGGUGCGAAAGCGUGGGGAGCAAACAGGAUUAGAUACCCCCGUAGUCC